rnacentral:misc_RNA from 1 species
UUGCAAUCUCCUUGCUAGUAGUCUGAUACCAUGUUGAGGGGCUAGUAGCAUCUUAUAGACGGGGGAAUGGCGAUACUCUGGAGAAAGAGAGAAAGAAAAGUUUGAUAGAAUUGAACGGAGAAGUAUUUUCAGUUCCAGCAUGGCAAAGGUCUGGCCAACACAUAGUCGACUUCCGAAACCAAAUGGAAUGUAAGAUUGUGGAUACUUGCAGGCUUCAGCUACACCUCCUGCAAACCUCUCAGGCUUGAAUUCAUCAGCAUCAGGACCCCAGUUUUCAGGAUCACGAUGCAAUGCCAUAACUGAUAUCCAAAUGAUGGUGCCUUUUGGCACAGUUAAAUCUCCCACCCUUAAAUCAGCAAAAGCUUCUCUUGAUGUGAUAACAGCUGGACCAUAGAGUCUCAGAGUUUCUUGGAUCACCAUAGUCAGCGAUUUUAACUGACGAAGUUUGUCCAAAUCUUGGAAGCAAUCACGGUCAUCACCACAGAUGUCGAAGAUCUCAGCUCGAAUGCGUUCUUGCCACUCGGGGUAUAACGCAAGCAGCAUCAAGCUCCAGGAGGCCGUAAG